rnacentral:rRNA from 1 species
UACGGAGGGGGCAAGCGUUGUUCGGAUUUACUGGGCGUAAAGGGUGUGUAGGCGGUUGCGCAAGUCUAGUGUGAAAUCUUCACCGCUUAACGGGAAGAGGUCACUGGAAACUGCGUAACUCGAGUGUGGUAGAGGCAAGCGGAAUUCCUGGUGUAGCGGUGGAAUGUGUAGAUAUCAGGAAGAACACCUGUGGCGAAGGCGGCUUGCUGGGCCAUCACUGACGCUGAGACACGAAAGCGUGGGGAGCAAACGGG